CAAACCUGGAUGGUAUAGCCUCGAUCAUAGAGUGUACUUAUACAAAUCUAGGCGGUGUAGCCUCGAUCAUAGAGUGUACUUAUGCAAACCUAUAUGGUAUAGCCUCGAUCAUAGAGUGUACUUAUACAAAUCUAGGUGGUAUAGCCUCAAUCACAGAGUGUACUUAUACAUUUACAUUUAUUCAUUUAGUAGACGCUUUCUCCAAAGUAACAUACAAACCAAGGUGGUGUAGCCUCGAUCACAGAGUGUACUUAUGUAAACCUAUAUGGUAUAGCCUCGAUCACAGAGUGUACUUAUACAACCCUAUAGUAUAGCCUCGAUUACAGAGUGUACUAUACAAACCUAUAGCCUUGCGUGAAGUCACAGUGACGCGGUAAACACGAGAUUUAUGACGCUGUUGCCGGUGUAACACAGCACACUGUUUUACAGUACAGUAACGUACAUAAACCUAGAUGUUUAUCAUCACCAAGUAUACUGUAAGUUACACAGUGUAAGUAAUUGAAUGUGCUACUUACGACUGGCAGCACAGUAGGUUUGUUUCCACCAGCACCACCAGGACGCGCCGAGAGAACUGGGACGGAAAGACCCGAGUGCGGAGUCGUUCGUCUGGAGUCAGAGGAUCAGGCAAGUUCUUGGUAUCGGGGACAGGCGGAGGGUCGGUCGAUCGACGGUCAGGGUCAGAGCGGGAAUCCAUGGGCGAGGUCAGCAGACGAAGCGAAGAGUCGGUCGAAUGGCGAUCGGAAUUGAAACGAAGAUCCGUGGACGUGGUCGAGAAACAAAGCUAGGGGUCAAAACCAGAGAACGUGAACUGAGAACUGGAGAUGCAUAUGAGCAAGGAGUCACAAGGAAGGGUGGUUGUCCCUGACGAGAUUCCGCAAAGGUAUGGGAGCUGAGGAGGGUCUUUUAAAGGGUGAGCAGUUCAUCAGGUGCUGGAGCAGAGUCAGGUGUUGUCAGUUGUGGGCGUGGACUUAACAGCUUUAUUGUCAUUUUAACCGUAUACAGCUGGUACA
rnacentral:lncRNA from 1 species